UGGCCUACGGAGGGCAGCAGUGGGGAAUAUUGCACAAUGGGGGAAACCCUGAUGCAGCGACGCCGCGUGAAGGACGAAGUAUUUCGGUACGUAAACUUCUAUCAGCAGGGAAGAAAAUGACGGUACCUGACCAAGAAGCCCCGGCUAACUACGUGCCAGCAGCCGCGGUAAUACGUAGGGGGCAAGCGUUAUCCGGAUUUACUGGGUGUAAAGGGAGCGUAGACGGCCAUGCAAGUCUGAUGUGAAAACCCGGGGCUCAACCCCGGGACUGCAUUGGAAACUGCCAUGCUAGAGUGCUGGAGAGG
rnacentral:rRNA from 1 species